CUGAGAGGAAAAAGAGAGCACAACUGUAAACCGUGUUCAGAUGGACACAAAGUGGAAGCGGAGACACUUAAGCGCACUUUGAGCAGAGGCCCUGCCAAGCAGUGUUGCCAUAAAAACCACAUCCUUUCUUGCAAAGCAGCUCUGACUGGUCCAGGUGGAUCCCACGCCGCUGGCUCAUCAUCCUUCAAAAAAGUUGAGGUGUACUGAGGUGGAAUCAGAAGACAGGAAACUCGUGCUAAUGAGCUUUUCAAGGUGAGGGGGAGGUUUGUGGAAAAGGUGUCCAGCGCACUUAUCAGCCAGCUCCUGGAUGACGUUUUAGAAGACGGCAUCUUGAAUGAUGGGGAGAGAGAGUCGAUAAUCGAGGAGAACCGGUCCC